rnacentral:rRNA from 1 species
AAGCGGUGGAGUAUGUGGUUAAUUCGAUGCAACGCGAAGAACCUUACCUGGUCUUGACAUCCCGGAGACCCUUAGGAAACUAGGGGGUGCUUCCAUCUGGAAGAAUCUGGAGACAGGUGCUGCAUGGCUGUCGUCAGCUCGUGUCGUGAGAUGUUGGGUUAAGUCCCGCAACGAGCGCAACCCUUGCCUUUAGUUGCCAGCAGUUCGGCUGGGCACUCUAAAGGGACUGCCGGUGUUAAACCGGAGGAAGGUGGGGAUGACGUCAAGUCCUCAUGGCCUUUAUGACCAGGGCUACACACGUACUACAAUGGCCGAUACAAAGGGCAGCGACACUGCGAGGUGAAGCCAAUCCCGUAAAAUCGGUCUCAGUCCGGAUCGGAGUCUGCAACUCGACUCCAUGAAGUUGGAAUCGCUAGUAAUCGUGGAUCAGCAUGCCACGGUGAAUACGUUCCCGGGCCUU